rnacentral:sRNA from 1 species
CUCCUCCCCUCGCAUACGCCGUCAUCGCCGUUGUCGCCACCGCCGCCGCUGCCACGACGUCGCCGCCGCUGCCAUGACGUCACCGCCGCCGUCACUACCGCCGUCGUCGACGCCGCCGCCGCCACUGCGCUUUUCUAGCCGUCGUUGCCACAUCGGAAGAUCCAGCCACCCAAACGAGAGAUCCAAUGGAAUUGAAGUGAGAAGGGAACAAUAGAGGAACUAGGGGAAAAGAUGGGCAAAAGAUUGUGCUACUCUGAUGCAGUUUUCAGAGACUACAUUAUGUAUUUAUAUUCAGACCACAUUCCAAUUUAUGAGCAUAUUACAAUCAUGCAAUGUUUAUCUCAUCGACAAACUAUUGAAUGACCAUCAUUUUGGAAAAUGAACAAGACAUCUCACUUUCAGCAACUGCAGGUGCUUGCAUUUGAAUUAUAUUGAGGUCUUCCAAUUUAUAUGUACAAGAUACAAAUGAAGAAUAUUCAUAAAUGAUUGUGCGAUAAGUUCAGACCCACAUGAAAGGCUCUGCAACAUGUGUUCAGCUUUGAUUUUUUUUUAAAGAGAUCCUAUGAGAAAUUCUAGAUGCGCUUCUUCAUUCUAUGAUGGGUUGUCUAUAUACUUCCUCCGUUUCACAAUAUGGUGAUAGGGAUCAGCAAGCGUGCAGUACAUCUCAAGCACAUGCAAGCUGGUGGUUGGAUCUUUACUGGCCAUAGCUACUACCCCUCCAUACUCGUAAAGGAAGUCGUUUAGGACAGCGACACGUUCUCCAAAACACAACUUUGACUUCUUAUUUCUAUAAAAAUAUUUAUUGAAAAGUUAUAUAUGUAUACUUUUAUGAAAAUAUUUUUCAAAACAAAUCUAUACAUAUAAUUUUUACAUUUUUAAACUCAACAACUUAAGAGUUAUUCAUGAUUUAUAUUCCCAAUGUUUGACUUAAAUAUUGUCCUAAACGACAUCCUUUAUGAAUAUGGUGUAGUAAUUCUUUUUUUAUGAAAAAAAUCCUCAAUCAAAUAAAUCUCAAAUAUCAGAUUAUAUCUGGUCAGUGUAACUAAUGUGUUAUCCUGACUCUGAAGUCAAUUUUGAAUAAUCUUGAAUUGGAUC